GAUGAACGCUGGCGGCGUGCCUAAUACAUGCAAGUCGAGCGAACGGACGAGAAGCUUGCUUCUCUGAUGUUAGCGGCGGACGGGUGAGUAACACGUGAAUAACCUACCUAUAAGACUGGGAUAACUUCGGGAAACCGUAGCUAAUACCGGAUAAUAUUUUGAACCGCAUGGUUCAAAAGUGAAAGACGGUCUUGCCGUCACUUAUAGAUGGAUCCGCGCUGCAUUAGCUAGUUGGUAAGGUAACGGCUUACCAAGGCAACGAUGCAUAGCCGACCUGAGAGGGUGAUCGGCCACACUGGAACUGAGACACGGUCCAGACUCCUACGGGAGGCAGCAGUAGGGAAUCUUCCGCAAUGGGCGAAAGCCUGACGGAGCAACGCCGCGUGAGUGAUGAAGGUCUUCGGAUCGUAAAACUCUGUUAUUAGGGAAGAACAUAUGUGUAAGUAACUGUGCACAUCUUGACGGUACCUAAUCAGAAAGCCACGGCUAACUACGUG
rnacentral:rRNA from 1 species